GACGAACGCUGGCGGCGUGCCUAAUACAUGCAAGUAGAACGCUGAAGGAGGAGCUUGCUUCUCUGGAUGAGUUGCGAACGGGUGAGUAACGCGUAGGUAACCUGCCUGGUAGCGGGGGAUAACUAUUGGAAACGAUAGCUAAUACCGCAUAAGAGUAGAUGUUGCAUGACAUUUACUUAAAAGGUGCAAUUGCAUCACUACCAGAUGGACCUGCGUUGUAUUAGCUAGUUGGUGAGGUAACGGCUCACCAAGGCAACGAUACAUAGCCGACCUGAGAGGGUGAUCGGCCACACUGGGACUGAGACACGGCCCAGACUCCUACGGGAGGCAGCAGUAGGGAAUCUUCGGCAAUGGACGGAAGUCUGACCGAGCAACGCCGCGUGAGUGAAGAAGGUUUUCGGAUCGUAAAGCUCGGUUGUAAGAGAAGAACGAGUGUGAGAGUGGAAAGUUCACACUGUGACGGUAUCUUACCAGAAAGGGACGGCUAACUACGUG
rnacentral:rRNA from 1 species